UCUGACUUCAGACUCGGACUUCUCUUGAACUGAAUUUUAAUGUGCGUAUUGUUAUGCGUUUACUUUUCUACAUUGGUUAGAGGUAUAGGGGGAGGGUUGAGAUCUCACAAAAAUGUUGAACCCCGCCGCAUUUUUGCGCCUGUCCCAAGUCAGGAGUCUCUGGCCUUUGUUAGUCUUGUAUUAUUUUAAUUUUAGUUUCUUGUGUACAAUUUGGAAAUUAGUAUGGCGUUCAUAAUCACUGGACUAGUAUAUAUUUGUUUAGGGGCCAGCUGAAGGACGCCUCCGGGUGCGGGAAUUUCUCGCUACAUUAAAGGCCUGUUGGUGACCCUCUGCUGUUGUUUUUUAUUUGGUCGGGUUGUUGUCUCUUUGACACAUUCCCCAUUUCCAUUCUCAAUUUUAUGUUUA
rnacentral:lncRNA from 1 species